rnacentral:rRNA from 1 species
GAUGAACGCUGGCGGCGUGCCUAACACAUGCAAGUCGAACGAAGCACUGAGAGUUUGAGAUUUCGGUCAAGAACACUCUUUGACUUAGUGGCGGACGGGUGAGUAAUGCGUGAGCAACCUGCCUUUCAGAGGGGGGACAACAGUUGGAAACGACUGCUAAUACCGCAUGAUAUAUUCGGAUCGCAUGGUCUGGAUAUCAAAGAUUUAUCGCUGAAAGAUGGGCUCACGUCUGAUUAGUUAGUUGGUGAGGUAACGGCUCACCAAGACUGCGAUCAGUAGCCGGACUGAGAGGUUGAACGGCCACAUUGGGACUGAGAUACGGCCCAGACUCCUACGGGAGGCAGCAGUGGGGAAUAUUGGGCAAUGGGCGAAAGCCUGACCCAGCAACGCCGCGUGAAGGAAGAAGGUCUUCGGAUUGUAAACUUCUUUUAUCAGGGACGAAGGAAGUGACGGUACCUGAUGAAUAAGCCACGGCUAACUACGUGACC